rnacentral:rRNA from 1 species
AAAUAAUGCUGACCGUACCAAACCAACGCAGGUGGGCAGAUCUAGUACAUCAAGGUGAUCGAGAUAACGGCACUUAAGGAACUCGGCAAAUUGACCCUGUAACUUCGGGAUGAGGGGGGCCCCGGUAACGCGGGGCGUUUAAAACAAAGAAGGAGCAACUGUUUAUUAAAAACACAGGACCCUGCGAAAUGGCAACAUGACGUAUAGGGUCUGACGCCUGCCCGGUGCCAUUGGGCGAAAGCGAAGCGUGUUUGCGCCUAGUAUAAGCCUCGGUAAACGGCGGCUGUAACUCUGACGGUCCUAAGGUAGCGAAAUUCCUUGGCGGGUAAGUUCCGUCCUGCACGAAUGGCGUAAUGACUUCUUCACUGUCUCAAGUGCCGGCUCGGUGAAAUUGAAUUCCUCGUGAAGAUGCGGGGAUGUCGCGGCCGGACGGAAAGACCCUGUGCACCUUUACUAUAACCUUGCGUUGCCCGGAUUGCGGGCUUGUUCAGCAUAGGCGGGAGCUUGUCUUUAAGAAGCGUUAGUGAGAUACCGUCCUUGUCCUUUAUUCGGGCCCCUUGCAUGGUUGGUAGUUUGGCUGGGGUGGCCGCCUCCUAAAGGGUAACGGGGGCGCGCAAUGGUGAGCUCGAUCCGAUAUUCGGAGUAAGAGCGCAAUGGUAAAAGCUCGCCUGACUGAAAGACUGACAGGUCGAUCAGGGACGCAAGUCGGCCAUAGUGACCCGACGAUGCUGCGCGGAAAGGUCGUCGAUCAACGGAUAAAAGGUACGCCAGGGAUAACAGGCUAAUAACCCCUAAGAGACCAAAUCGCCGGGGUUGUUUGGCACCUCGAUGUCGGCUCAUCGCAUCCUGGAGCUGUAG